UGCGUAGGCGGUUUAUUAAGUCAGAUGUGAAAGCCCGAGGCUCAACCUCGGGACUGCAUUUGAAACUGGUAAACUAGAAUACAGGAGAGGUAAGUGGAAUUCCUAGUGUAGCGGUGAAAUGCGUAGAUAUUAGGAGGAACACCAGUGGCGAAGGCGACUUACUGGACUGUUAUUGACGCUGAGGCACGAAAGCGUGGGGAGCAAACAGGAUUAGAUACCCUGGUAGUCC
rnacentral:rRNA from 1 species